GGAAGGGCGCAGUUCGGCUGGGCCUCGCACAGGAGCUGCAUGGCUGUCGUCAGCUCGUGUCGUGAGAUGUUGGGUUAAGUCCCGCAACGAGCGCAACCCUCAUCCUUAGUUACCUGCGGGUAAUGCCGGGCACUUUAAGGAAACUGCCAGUGAUAAACUGGAGGAAGGUGGGGAUGAUGUCAAGUCAGCACGGCCCUUAUGGGGUGGGGUACACACGUGCUACAAUGGCGACUACAAUAGGUUGCAACGUCGCAAGGCUGAGCUAAUGCGUAAAAGUCCUCUCAGUUCGGAUUGUCCUCUGUAACUCGAGGGCAUGAAGUCGGAAUCGCUAGUAUUCGUGGAUCA
rnacentral:rRNA from 1 species